CCUACGGGUGGCUGCAGUGGGGAAUAUUGCACAAUGGGCGCAAGCCUGAUGCAGCCAUGCCGCGUGUGUGAAGAAGGCCUUCGGGUUGUAAAGCACUUUCAGCGGGGAGGAAGGCGGAGAGGUUAAUAACCUCAUCGAUUGACGUUACCCGCAGAAGAAGCACCGGCUAACUCCGUGCCAGCAGCCGCGGUAAUACGGAGGGUGCAAGCGUUAAUCGGAAUUACUGGGCGUAAAGCGCACGCAGGCGGUCUGUCAAGUCGGAUGUGAAAUCCCCGGGCUCAACCUGGGAACUGCAUUCGAAACUGGCAGGCUAGAGUCUUGUAGAGGGGGGUAGAAUUCCAGGUGUAGCGGUGAAAUGCGUAGAGAUCUGGAGGAAUACCGGUGGCGAAGGCGGCCCCCUGGACAAAGACUGACGCUCAGGUGCGAAAGCGUGGGGAGCAAACAGGAUUAGAUACCCUAGUAGUC
rnacentral:rRNA from 1 species